AGUUGCUUAGGGCUUCACUAAAUUUCUGAGACUGGCCUCAAACUUGCGAUCCUCCUACCUCAGGCUUCCAAGUACUGCGUGUGAUGUUUGUGCGUGCUUGAUAGUGAAUGUUGGUGUACCUGGGACAAGAUGUGCUCUGAGACUUGUGUUCACUUAUGUCCACCUCUUGGGAUCAGGCCGAUGGAGGAUACCUGAGCUCCAGGCACCCCUAGUUUUUAGUGAGGGGGUGCAGAUCCUUCUCUCCGAGUCCCUCCUAAUCCUACAUGGCCCUCUACCUCCUCCUCACUGGAUGGCUGCUGAUCUGGCUGGUGUCCUCUACCUCCCAGCUUCAUUUCCCCUGUCUCUCUCUCUGCUCCUGUGGUUUCCGUUGCUAAUGCUCCCCAGAGGCCCUUAAAGGCUUUGGCCAGGGUGGCACUGGGUGCAGUGCUGAGAGCUUUAGGAGGUGGGGCCUAGUGGGAGGCUUUUAGGUCAUUGGGGGCGUGGCCUUGGAGGGAAUCAUGGGACCCAGCCCCCUCUGCACUCUCUUGCCUCCUGGCCUGAGCUGAG
rnacentral:lncRNA from 1 species